rnacentral:rRNA from 1 species
GUCGAACGGAUCUGUAUUGAAACCUAGUGAUAUACAGGUUAGUGGCGGACGGGUGAGUAACGCGUGGAUAACCUGCCGUAUACCGGGGGAUAACACUUAGAAAUAGGUGCUAAUACCGCAUGAGCGCACAGCUCCGCAUGGAGCAGUGUGAAAAACUCCGGUGGUAUACGAUGGAUCCGCGUCUGAUUAGCCAGUUGGCGGGGUAACGGCCCACCAAAGCGACGAUCAGUAGCCGGCCUGAGAGGGUGAACGGCCACAUUGGGACUGAGACACGGCCCAGACUCCUACGGGAGGCAGCAGUGGGGAAUAUUGCACAAUGGGGGAAACCCUGAUGCAGCGACGCCGCGUGAGUGAAGAAGUAUCUCGGUAUGUAAAGCUCUAUCAGCAGGAAAGAUAAUGACGGUACCUGACUAAGAAGCCCCGGCUAACUACGUGCCAGCAGCCGCGGUAAUACGUAGGGGGCAAGCGUUAUCCGGAUUUACUGGGUGUAAAGGGAGCGUAGACGGCAGCGCAAGUCUGGAGUGAAAUGCCGGGGCCCAACCCCGGAACUGCUUUGGAAACUGUGCGGCUCGAGUGCGGGAGAGGUAGGCGGAAUUCCUAGUGUAGCGGUGAAAUGCGUAGAUAUUAGGAGGAACACCAGUGGCGAAGGCGGCUUACUGGACCGUAACUGACGUUGAGGCUCGAAAGCGUGGGGAGCAAACAG